CCUACGGGCGACAGCAGUGGGGGAUAUUGGACAAUGGGGGAAACCCUGAUCCAGCGACGCCGCGUGAGUGAAGAAGUAUUUCGGUAUGUAAAGCUCUAUCAGCAGGGAAGAAAGAAAUGACGGUACCUGAGUAAGAAGCCUCGGCUAACUACGUGCCAGCAGCCGCGGUAAUACGUAGGGGGCAAGCGUUAUCCGGAAUUACUGGGUGUAAAGGGAGCGUAGACGGCGAUGCAAGUCUGAAGUGAAAGGCGGGGGCCCAACCCCCGGACUGCUUUGGAAACUGUAUGGCUGGAGUGCAGGAGAGGUAAGCGGAAUUCCUAGUGUAGCGGUGAAAUGCGUAGAUAUUAGGAGGAACACCAGUGGCGAAGGCGGCUUACUGGACUGUAACUGACGUUGAGGCUCGAAAGCGUGGGGAGCAAACAGGAUUAGAUACCCUAGUAGUC
rnacentral:rRNA from 1 species